GCCAUACUCCUAGCCUAAACAAAUGCAACCUACUAAAACACACAAUAAACCAUUUAAAUAAAUAGUACAGGCGAUAGAAAUUUUUUUUGAGCAAUAGAAAAAGUACUGCAAAGGAACGGUGAAAUAAAAAUGAAACAACUAUAAAACAAAAGAAAGAAAAGACUAAACCUUGUACCUUUUGCAUAAUGGUCUAGUAAGUCAAACCUAACAAAAAGAAAUAAAGUCAGCCACCCCGAAACUAGACGAGCUACUUAAAAGCAGCAUUAACAAGAGCCAACCCGUCUCUGUGGCAAAAGAGUGGGACGACUUCUAAGUAGAGGUAAAAAGCCAAACGAGCCUAGUAAUAGCUGGUUGCUUGAAAAAUGAAUAUAAGUUCAGCUUAAAGCACUUUAAAUUAAUAAAAAAUAAAAAUAGCACUUUAAAGUUAAUUAGCAGAGGUACAGCUCUACUAAUAAAGGACACAACCUACAAUAUGAAUAAAGAUUAUAUUAAUAAAAGAAGUUAACUAUGUAGGCCUAAAAACAGCCACCACAAGAAAGCGUCAAAGUUCAGUUUAACAAGCCCUUAUUAUCCCAAUAAAACAUCUAAAUUCACAAAACAUAUCAAGCCUAUCUAUAAAAUAGAUGAGUUUAUACUAGAAUUAGUAACAAGAACACAUUCUCUGCAUGCAAGCGUAAAUCAGAACGAAAAAAUCACUGAUAAUUAACGACCAAAAAUAUUUGACGCACAAGAAAAACAUAUUGAAACAACCGUUAACCCAACACAGGAGCAUAAAAGAAGAUAAAAAGAUUAAAAAGGAACUCGGCAACCAAGAACUUCGCCUGUUUACCAAAAACACCGCCUCUUGCUAAGUAUAGUAUAAGAGGUCCCGCCUGCCCAGUGAUCAUUUUUUUAACGGCCGCGGUAUUAUGACCGUGCAAAGGUAGCGUAAUCACUUGUCUUUUAAAUAAAGACCCGUAUGAAAGGCAAAACGAGAGUUCAACUGUCUCUUUAAUCUUAUCAGUGAAAUUUAUUUCUCCGUGCAGAAGCGGAGAUAACCAUAUAAGACGAGAAGACCCUAUGGAGCUUUAAAUACAGAACCAACUACAACCACAUUUUUAGCCAACAGGCAAAAAAUUAAUAAGUGUAGUCGUGGUUUAGAUUUUCGGUUGGGGCGACCGCGGAGUAAAAAUUAACCUCCACGACAUAUAAUUUAGAACGACACUUCGAAAACUAAAACAUUUACUUUAAUGACCCACUAAGUGAUCAACGAACCAAGUUACCCUAGGGAUAACAGCGCAAUCCUUUCUAAGAGUCCAUAUCGACGAAUGGGUUUACGACCUCGAUGUUGGAUCAGGACACCCAAAUGGUGCAGCCGCUAUUAAAGGUUCGUUUGUUCAACGAUUAAAGUCCUACGUGAUCUGAGUUCAGACCGGAGCAAUCCAGGUCAGUUUCUAUCUAUAAAAAAUUUUUUCUAGUACGAAAGGACCGAAAAAAUAGAGCCUCUUAAAAAUAAAGCUCUUAUUUUACUGAAAACAAAUAAAGACCACACAAAACCACACCUUCAGAGCAAAGAACAA
rnacentral:rRNA from 1 species